UGCGCAGGUGGGAAUGUAAGUCAGUGGUGAAAUACUGCCGCUUAACGGUAGAAUUGCCAUUGAUACUGCAUUUCUUGAGUAUGGUUGAGGUAGGCGGAAUGUGUCGUGUAGCGGUGAAAUGCAUAGAUAUGACACAGAACGCCGAUUGCGAAGGCAGCUUACUAAGCCAUUACUGACACUGAGGCACGAAAGCGUGGGUAGCGAACAGGAUUAGAUACCCUGGUAGUC
rnacentral:rRNA from 1 species